UACAGAGGGUGCGAGCGUUAAUCGGAAUUACUGGGCGUAAAGCGUGCGUAGACGGUUAUCUAAGUCGGAUGUGAAAGCCCCGGGCUCAACCUGGGAACUGCAUUCAAAACUGUCGAGCUAGAGUAUGGUAGAGGGUGGUGGAAUUUCCUGUGUAGCGGUGAAAUGCGUAGAUAUAGGAAGGAACACCAGUGGCGAAGGCGACCACCUGGACUGAUACUGACACUGAGGUGCGAAAGCGUGGGGAGCAAACAGG
rnacentral:rRNA from 1 species